AAAAUAACAAUCAGUCUCUUGUAACCUUCACCGGGAUGCAGUUUCCUUACAGUAUAUCGUAUGAAAGUGAACAGGAGUAUACAGUUGCUUUACCGAGAAACGAUACAUUAAAUGAUACUUCAGGUGAUAAAUUCUUUAGGGGGGAGUUUGGAAAUAUUUCACAUAACGAUUGUACUUACAAAGACAAAGAAUCAGCUACAAAAGCAAGGGAAAUAGUUACUUGCAUACAGUCUAAGUCUUAUGCGGUGCAGAAAGAACAGCUUGAUCCAAUGCUACGUGGAGUGGCAGAGUGGGAAAUUCCAUGGGAAGAUCUGCAUGUUGGUGAACGUAUUGGUAUUGGGUCAUAUGGCGAGGUAUACCGUGCAGAAUGG
rnacentral:misc_RNA from 1 species